AACGAACGCUGGCGGCGUGUUUAACACAUGCAAGUCGAACGUGAUUGAGAGCUUGCUCUCAUGAAAGUGGCGCACGGGUGAGUAACACGUGGAUAAUCUGCCUGGCGAUUCGGGAUAACACUUCGAAAGGGGUGCUAAUACUGAAUAAGCCCACGGUCUCUUUGGAGGGCGCGGGAAAAGGGGGCCUCUGUAUAUGCUCCUGUCGCUAGAUGAGUCCGCGGCCCAUUAGCUAGUUGGUAGGGUAAUGGCCUACCAAGGCGACGAUGGGUAGCUGGUCUGAGAGGAUGAUCAGCCACACUGGAACUGAGACACGGUCCAGACUCCUACGGGAGGCAGCAGUGGGGAAUUUUGCGCAAUGGGCAAAAGCCUGACGCAGCAACGCCGCGUGAGUGAUGAAGGCCUUCGGGUCGUAAAGCUCUGUCAGAGGGGAAGAACCGCCGGGUGGUUAAUACCUGCCCGGUCUGACGGUACCCUCAAAGGAAGCACCGGCUAACUACGUGCCAGCAGCCGCGGUAAAAC
rnacentral:rRNA from 1 species